ACCGUUAUUGUGAGAUAACGUUGAACGCACAGAAGUCAGCAGAGGCCAUAGUAGUCGGGAGUUUUUUUUUCCGGUGAAGGGC
rnacentral:ncRNA from 1 species